AGUGAACGCUGGCGGUAGGCCUAACACAUGCAAGUCGAACGGCAGCACAGUAAGAGCUUGCUCUUACGGGUGGUGAGUGGCGGACGGGUGAGGAAUACAUCGGAAUCUACUUUUUCGUGGGGGAUAACGUAGGGAAACUUACGCUAAUACCGCAUACGACCUACGGGUGAAAGCAGGGGAUCUUCGGACCUUGCGCGAUUGAAUGAGCCGAUGUCGGAUUAGCUAGUUGGCGGGGUAAAGGCCCACCAAGGCGACGGUCCGUAGCUGGUCUGAGAGGAUGAUCAGCCACACUGGAACUGAGACACGGUCCAGACUCCUACGGGAGGCAGCAGUGGGGAAUAUUGGACAAUGGGCGCAAGCCUGAUCCAGCCAUACCGCGUGGGUGAAGAAGGCCUUCGGGUUGUAAAGCCCUUUUGUUGGGAAAGAAAAGCAGCAGGUUAAUACCCCGCUGUUCUGACGGUACCCAAAGAAUAAGCACCGGCUAACUUCGUG
rnacentral:rRNA from 1 species